rnacentral:rRNA from 1 species
AGAACGAACGCUGGCGGCGUGCUUAACACAUGCAAGUCGCACGAGAAAGUCACCUUCGGGUGAUGAGUAAAGUGGCGCACGGGUUAGUAACACGUGGACAACCUACCUUCGGGAGAGGGACAACCUGUCGAAAGACGGGCUAAUACCUCAUAAGACCACAGGAUCUUCGGGUCCAGGGGUAAAAGAUGGCCUCUAUUUAUAAGCUAUCGCCUAAAGAUGGGUCCGCGGACCAUUAGCCAGUUGGUGGGGUAACGGCCUACCAAAGCUAAGAUGGUUAGCUGGUCUGAGAGGACGACCAGCAACACUGGAACUGAGACACGGUCCAGACUCCUACGGGAGGCAGCAGUGGGGAAUCUUGGACAAUGGGCGAAAGCCUGAUCCAGCAACGCCGCGUGAGUGAUGAAGGCCUUCGGGUUGUAAAGCUCUGUCAGAGGGAACGAAUAAAGGUGACCUAAUACGUCAUCAGAUGACGGUACCCUCAAAGGAAGCACCGGCUAACUCUGUGCCAGCAGCCGCGGUAAGACAGAGGGUGCAAGCGUUGUUCGGAAUUACUGGGCGUAAAGGGCGUGUAGGCGGUUGGGUAUGUCUGAUGUGAAAUCCCUCGGCUAAACCGGGGAACUGCAUCAGAAACUACCUAACUUGAGUGCGAGAGAGGGUGGCGGAAUUCCUAGUGUAGAGGUGAAAUUCGUAGAUACUAGGAGGAACACCAGAGGCGAAGGCGGCCACCUGGCUCGCAACUGACGCUGAGACGCGAAAGCGUGGGGAGCAAACAGGAUUAGAUACCCUGGUAGUCCACGCUGUAAACGAUGAUAACUAGAUGUUGGAAGUAUUGACCCUUUCAGCGUCGCAGCUAACGCAUUAAGUUAUCCGCCUGGGGAGUACGGCCGCAAGGCUA